CGGGUGAGUAACACGUGGAUAACCUACCUAUAAGACUGGGAUAACUUCGGGAAACCGGAGCUAAUACCGGAUAAUAUAUUGAACCGCAUGGUUCAAUAGUGAAAGACGGUUUUGCUGUCACUUAUAGAUGGAUCCGCGCCGCAUUAGCUAGUUGGUAAGGUAACAGCUUACCAAGGCAACGAUGCGUAGCCGACCUGAGAGGGUGAUCGGCCACACUGGAACUGAGACAGGUCCAG
rnacentral:rRNA from 1 species